GCGGGCGUAGCUCAGUGGUAGAGCAUUACCUUGCCAAGGUAAGGGUCAAGAGUUCGAUCCUCUUCGCCCGCUCCA
rnacentral:tRNA from 1 species